rnacentral:rRNA from 1 species
CUAGCAAGCAACGAAAAAUCAGGUGGGGCGGUUAGACCACAGAGAUUUAUGGACGGAUUCCGUGAGGCGCUGGAGUUUUGUGAGUUACAAGAUCUUGGAUUCGAGGGAGAUGUUUAUACAUGGAGGAAUCACAACAUUUGUGAGCGGCUGGAUCGUGCGGUGGCAAAUGAAGAAUGGUGCAAUAUCUUUCCACAAUAUGUCGUGGUUAAUGGCGAGCCAAGACAUUCAGACCACCGGCCAGUUGUAGUUCAUACUGAGGGCUGGGAGAAGGGGUGGAAAAAAGGCGAUAGAAGUUUUCGGUUUGAAGUCAGAUGGUUGCAGAAGGAGGGAUGCAGUGAGGUGGUAAAAGAGGCAUGGGAUGAAAGCUGGGUGGUAGGGGACGGUGGUGUCUCAUCUACCCUGAGUGCAAUAGCUGGGAGAGUGACAACAUGGAGCAGAGUUGUGGGAGAACUAGAGACGAGAUUAAAGAAGGCGAAGGGUGAACUAGAACGAUGCAUGAAAGAACCCGUCUCAGAAAGGAAAGUGAGGGAGGAGGCGAGAUUAAGGGGAGAUGUAAAUGACCUGGAGGAGAAGAAGCAUACACAGCUUAAACAACGAACACAUGCUUGUGUUGGAAAUAUGCCCUAG